CUGAGAACUCAACCCCAAAGGUCCCCCGUAAAUUAACCCUACCUUUAGGAACUAUCAUUACUAAGUCCUCACAGGACAAGAAGUUGAAAGAAUGGAAGAGCUGGAGAAUAAAGAGGAAAGAUAUGAAAUGUUAUCUUCUGGACACGAAUUGGUUUAUGGCCCACAUGGGCUUACAACAGCUAUGGCUGCUUUGACAAGAUGAAGCCAGUGAAACUCCAAGCACAGACAGGAACCUUCAUCUGGUGAUGGAUGGAGAUAGAGACAGAGACCCACACUGGAGCACUGGACUGAGCUCCCAAGGUCCCAAUGAGGAGCAGAUGGAGGGAGAACACGAGCAAGGAUGUCAGGACCACGGGGGGUGCACCCACCCACUGAGACAGUGGGGCUGAUCUAUUGGGAGCUCACCAAGGCCAGCUGGACUGUGACUGAAAAAGCAUGGGAUAAAACCGGACUCUCUGAUCAUGGCGAACAAUGAGGACUGAUGAGAAGCCAAGAACCUUCAUCUGGAGAUGGAUGGAGAUAGAGACAGAGACCCACACUGGAGCACCGGACUGAGCUCCCAAUGUCCCAAGGAGGAGCAGAAGGAGGGAAAAUAUGAGCAAAGAAGUCAGGACCACGAGGGGUGCACCCACCCACGGAGACAGUGGGGCUGAUCUAUUGUGAGCUCACCAAGGCCAGCUGGACUGCGACUGAAAAAGCAUGGGAUAAAACCGGACUCUCUGAAUAUGGCGGACAAUAAGAGCUGCUGAGAAGCCAAGGACAAUGCCACUGGGUUUUGAUCCUACUUCAUGUUCUGGCUUUGUGGGAGCCUAGCCAGUUUGGAUGUUCACCUUCCUAGACCAGGAUGGAGCGGGGAGGACUUUGGACUUUCCACAGGGCAGGGAACCCUGACUGCCCCUCAGACUGGAGA